rnacentral:rRNA from 1 species
CAACCUACCUUUGACUGGAGAAUAGCCCGAAGAAAUUCGGAUUAAUGCUCCAUGAGACCACAAUACCGCAUGAUAUAGUGGUAAAAGCUCCGGCGGUCAAAGAUGGGCAUGCGUGCCAUUAGUUAGUUGGUGAGGUUACGGCUCACCAAGACAACGAUGGCUAGGGGGUCUGAGAGGAUGAUCCCCCACACUGGUACUGAGACACGGACCAGACUCCUACGGGAGGCAGCAGUGAGGAAUAUUGGUCAAUGGACGCAAGUCUGAACCAGCCAUGCCGCGUGCAGGAUGAAUGCCCUAUGGGUUGUAAACUGCUUUUCUACAAGAAGAAACUUCCUGAUGUAUCAGGAACUGACGGUAUUGUAGGAAUAAGCAUCGGCUAACUCCGUGCCAGCAGCCGCGGUAAUACGGAGGAUGCAAGCGUUAUCCGGAUUCAUUGGGUUUAAAGGGUGCGUAGGCGGGGUAGUAAGUCAGUGGUGAAAGCCUGCGGCUUAACCGUAGAAUUGCCAUUGAUACUGCUAUUCUUGAGUGCAGUUGAGGUAGGCGGAAUGUGUAAUGUAGCGGUGAAAUGCUUAGAUAUUACACAGAACACCGAUUGCGUAGGCAGCUUACUAAACUGUAACUGACGCUGAGGCACGAAAGCGUGGGGAGCGAACAGGAUUAGAUACCCUGGUAGUCCACGCUGUAAACUAUGAUCACUCGCUGUUGGCGAUACAUUGUCAGCGGCUGAGCGAAAGCAUUAAGUGAUCCACCUGGCGGAGUCGCGCAAGGUUGAAACUCAAAGGAAUUGACGGGGGCCCGCACAACGUGGAACAUGUGUUAUUGAUGAUACGCGAGGACUUACCUGGGCUUAAUGCGAGACGUACCGGGAAAUGGUACUCCCUUCGGGGCGGACUGCAAGGUGCUGCAUGGUUGUCGUCAGCUCGUGCCGUGAGGUGUCGGGUUAAGUCCCAUAACGAGCGCAACCCUCAUUGUUAGUUGCCAGCGAGUAAUGUCGGGGACUUACGAAACUGCCGGUGUAAACCGUGAGGAAGGUGGGGAGACGUCAAAUCAGCACGGCCUUAUGUCCAGGGCUACACACGGUACAUGCCAGUACAAAGGCAGUACCACGCGAGUGAUGCUAAUCUCUAAAGCUGUCUCAGUUCGGAUUGAAGUCUGCAACUCGACUUCAUGAAGCUGGAAUCGCUAGAAUCGCGCAUCAGCCANGCGCGUGAUACGUUCCCGGGCUUGUACACACCGCCCGUCAAGCCAUGGAAGCUUGGGGUACCUGAAGUCCGUAACC